GUGGGGAAUAUUGGACAAUGGGGGGAACCCUGAUCCAGCCAUGCCGCGUGUGUGAAGAAGGCCUUUUGGUUGUAAAGCACUUUAAGCGAGGAGGAGGCUACCGAGAUUAAUACUCUUGGAUAGUGGACGUUACUCGCAGAAUAAGCACCGGCUAACUCUGUGCCAGCAGCCGCGGUAAUACAGAGGGUGCAAGCGUUAAUCGGAUUUACUGGGCGUAAAGCGCGCGUAGGUGGCCAAUUAAGUCAAAUGUGAAAUCCCCGAGCUUAACUUGGGAAUUGCAUUCGAUACUGGUUGACUAGAGUAUGGGAGAGGAUGGUAGAAUUCCAGGUGUAGCGGUGAAAUGCGUAGAGAUCUGGAGGAAUACCGAUGGCGAAGGCAGCCAUCUGGCCUAAUACUGACACUGAGGUGCGAAAGCAUGGGGAGCAAACAGGAUUAGAAACCCCAGUAGUCC
rnacentral:rRNA from 1 species